rnacentral:rRNA from 1 species
ACCCCAGGCUCAGGCGGGAAACACCCGCUGAGUUUAAGCAUUAUCAAUAAGCGGGGAAAAGAAACUUCCAGGGAUUCCCUAAGUAACGCGCGAGCGAAACCGGAAGAGCCCAGCUGGAGAAUCGGGCGGGCCUCAGCGUCCGAAUCUUGUAGUCUGGAAAGCGUCUCGCGGCGGACCGGCCAAGUCCCUGGAAGGUGGCGCCGGGAGGGUGAGGCCCGUCGUGCCCGGGAAACAGCCGUGGUUCGCACCACGACGGCGCUGUCUUGCGAGUCGGGGUUGUUUGGGAAUGCAGCCCCAAUCGGGGCGCGUAAUUCCGUCCAAGGCUAAAUACGUGCGAUGAGACGAUAGCGACAAGUACGCGACGGAAAGAUGAAAAGGACUUUGAAAAGAGAGUCAAAGAGUGCUGAAAUUGUCGGUGAGGGAAGCGGUAUGGGGGCCGGCGAUGCGCCCCGGCGGAAUGUUGGACGGCGACAAGCCAGGUCCGCCCGAUCGGCUCGAGGGCGCGGAACCGACGCGGAUCGCGCGGCUUGCGGGCCCAAGCCGGGCACUAGAACGCCCGCGGACGGACGCGCGUCGCAUGCGAUCUUGACAUCAGCGCGCGCCGUCCACUGCGUGCCCGGCACCGCGCGCUCUGGCGUCGGCCAGCGGGCUCCCCAUUCGGCCGUCUUGGGAAACACGGGACCCAAGGAGUCUGACAUGGUGUGCGAACGUCAAACGGGCGAGUAAACCCGUAAGGCGCAGGAGCUGACUGGCGGAUCCCCCGAGGGGUUGCACCGCCGACCGACCUCGAAUCUUCUGAGAACGGAGUCGAGGUGAGAGCAUGCUGUCGGGACCCGAAAGUUGGUUGAAUGAUGCCUGAGCGCGGGGAAGCCAGAGGAAACUCUGGUGGAUGGCCCGCAGCGAUACUGACGUGCAAAAACAUCGUUCGUCUGACUUGGGUAUAGGGGCGAAAGACCUAAUCGAACCGUCUAGUAGCUGGUUUCCCAUCCGAAGUUUUCCCUCGGAUAGACUUUGGAGACUCGGGACGAGUUUCUAUCGGGUAAAGCCAAUGAUUAGAGGCAUCGGUGGGCGCAAACGCCCUCGACCUAUUCUCAAAUUUAAAUAGGCUUUAGGCGGCGCGUCUGCUUCGCUGAGCGGCGCACGGAAUCGAUAGAGCGUCCAAGUGGGCCUUUUUGUAAGCAGAACUUGGCGAUGCGGGACUUGAACGGAAGCCGGUUACAGGUGCCCAACUGCGCCUAAACCCACGAACCCACAAAGGGUGUUGGUCGAUUAAAGCAGCAGGGGACGUGGUCAUGGGGAAAGUCGAAAUCGUAAGGAGUGUGUUAACAACUCACCUGCCGAAUCAACUAGCCCGAAAAUGGAUGGCGCUAAGCGCCGCGACCUUAUACCCGAGCCGUCGGGGCAAGAGCCAGCCCCGUGGGAGUAGGAUGGGCGCGGCAGGCCGCUGCAACCGCGGGCGCAGCCCGGGCGGAGCGGCCGCACGGUGCAGAUCUUUUGGUGGUAGUAGCAAAUAUUCAAAUGAGAACUAUUUGAAGGCCGAAGAGGGAAAGGUUCCUGUGAACGGCAUGUGCACACUGGGUUAGUCGAUCCUAAGAGACGGGGAGCCGUCCGAAGCGCGUCCGCGCUCGGCGAGCUUCGAAAGGCGAAUACGGAUGUUUUAAAAUUCCGAACCGGACGCGGCGGCUGACGGGCAACGUUAGGGAGUCAGAGACAUGUCAGGCGGGGUCCUCGGGGAGAGUUAAUUUUGCUGUUUAACGGCGCCGCCCACCUGGAAACGACUUCAGUCGGAGGUAGGGUCACGCCGGCGGAGAGCACCGCACGUCGCGCGGUGUCCGGUGCGCCCCGGCGGGCCCGUGAAAAUCCGGAGGACCGAGUGCCUCCCGGCCCGGUCGUACUCAAUAACCGCAUCAGGUCUCCAAGGUGACAGCCUCUGGCAAUGGAACAAUGUAGGCGAAGGGAAGUCGGCCAAAGAAUCCGUAACCUCGGGAAAAGGAUUGCUUCUGAGGCUGGGGCCGGGGUCCCCAGUCCCGAACCCGCUCGGCCGUCGGCGGACUGCUCGAGCUGCUCCCCGGCCGAGAAGGGGUCGCGCGUGCGGCGGGGGGGACGGACUCGGAAGGCCCUCCCGGGGGCCUUCCGGCUGUCGAACAAAAUCGAUCGACUCAAGAACUGGUACGGGACAAGGGGAAUCCGACUGUUUAAUUAAAAACAAAGGCAUUGCGAUGGUCCCUGCGGAUGCUCACGCAAUGUGAUUUCUGCCAGUGCUCUGAAUGUCAAAGUGAAGAAAUUCAACCGAAGCGCGGGGUAAACGGCGGGAGUAAAACUAUGGGGGGGGGGGGGCUUUUUCCUUCCUUAAGGUAGCCAAAUAGCUCGUCAUCUAAUUUAGUGACUCGCGCGCAUGAAUGGAAUUAACGAGAUUCCACUGUCCUGUCUACUAUCCGCGAAACCACAGCAAGGGAACGGGCUUGGCGGAAUCAGCGGGGAAAAGACCCUGUUGAGCUUGACGUUCUAGUCGACUUUAUGAAUGAUUGAGAGGUGUAGGAUCAGUUGGAGCCGAAACGGCGACGGUUGAAAUACCACUACUUUUACGUUAUUUUACUUAUUCCGUGAAUUUCGGAGGCGGGGCCCUCGCCCCUUUUUUGGACCAAGGCCGCCACGGCGGGUGCCGAUCCGGGCGGCAAACAUUUUCAGAGUGGGAGUUUUGGCUGGGGGCACAUCUCUGUUUAAAAGAUAACGCAGCGUGUCCUAAGAUGAGUCAACGAGAACAGAAAUCUCGUUGGAACAAAGGGUUAAAAGCUAGUUUUGCUUCUGAUUUCCAGUAACGAAUACGACACCGUGAAGCUGGCCUCAUCGAUCCUUUGACCUUCGGAGAUUUGAAGCUUGACGGUGUUAGAAAAGUUCCACAGGGAUAACUGGCUAUGUGGCAGCCAAGCGUUCAUAGCGACGUUGGCUUUUUGAUCCUUCGAUGCGGCUCUUCCUAUCAUUGUGAAGCAGAAUUCACCAAGUUGUUGGAUUGUUCACCCACCAAUAGGGAACGUGAGCUUGGGUUUAGACCGUCGUGAGAAGGUUAGUUUUACCGCUACUGAUUGACCGCGUCGCGAUAGGUAAUUUCAACUAGUACGAGAGGAACCGUUGAUUCGCACAAUGUCAUCGCGCUUGGUUGAAAAGCCAGUGGCGCGAAGCUACCGUGGUGGAUUAUGAUCUGAACGCCUCUAAAGUCAGAAUCCGGGCCAGAAGCGACGCCCGUGUCCGGCGCCCGCUUGCCGACCCGCAGAGUGCGGCCCUCCGCCCAGAGGGCACGUUUUCGUUGGCCAGCCCCCGGCGGCGGACGAGCCGCGCGGGCCGCCUUGAAGUACUAUUCCCACCGGGCGCUUCGGAGCAGAAUUCCUUUGCAGACGACUUAAAUCGCGACGGUUUGUAGUGGCAGAGUGGCCUUGCUGCCCGACAGUCCACUGAGAAUUCAGCCCUUUUGUCCGAGCUCGAU